CCCCGAGUAGCUGAGGCAGAUUAGCGCCUCCCUGAAGAGGAGGAGACGUUGGUGCAAUACCAACCUCGGGGACCA
rnacentral:tRNA from 1 species